rnacentral:rRNA from 1 species
GACGAACGCUGGCGGCGUGCCUAAUACAUGCAAGUCGAACGAACCAAUCAGGAGCUUGCUUUCUGUUGGUUAGAGGCGGACGGGUGAGUCCCACGUGGGUAGCCUGCCUGCCCGAAAGGGGUAACAACGGGGAACCGUUGCUAAUACCGGAAAGAUUAUCUUUCCGCAUGGAGCGAUAAGUAAAGAUGGCUGUUGCUAUCGCUUACAGAUGGGCACGCGGCGCAUUAGAUAGUUGGUGAGAGGACGGCUAGCCAAGGUGGGGAUGGGUAGCCGACCAGAGAGGGUGAUCGCCCACCCGGGGAGUGAGACAGGGCCCAGACUCCGACAGGAGGCAGCAGCAGGGAAUCUUACGCGAGGGACGAAAGGCUGACGGUGCAACGCGGCGGAAGCGAAGAAGGUCUUCGGAUCGGAAAGCUCUGUUGUUAGGGGGGAACAAGUAUCGGAGGAAAUGCCGGUACAUUGACGGUACCUGACGAGAAAGCCACGGCUAACUACGUG